rnacentral:rRNA from 1 species
UACGAGGGGGCUAGCGUUGCUCGGAAUCACUGGGCGUAAAGCGCACGUAGGCGGCUUUCUAAGUCAGGGGUGAAAUCCUGGAGCUCAACUCCAGAACUGCCUUUGAUACUGGAGAGCUUGAGUCCGGAAGAGGUGAGUGGAACUCCGAGUGUAGAGGUGAAAUUCGUAGAUAUUCGGAAGAACACCAGUGGCGAAGGCGGCUCACUGGUCCGGUACUGACGCUGAGGUGCGAAGGCGUGGGGAGCAAACAGG